rnacentral:rRNA from 1 species
CCUACGGGAGGCAGCAGUGGGGAAUCUUGCGCAAUGGGCGAAAGCCUGACGCAGCAACGCCGCGUGCGGGAAGAAGGCUUUCGGGCUGUAAACCGCUUUCAGCAGGAACGAAAAUGACGGUACCUGCAGAAGAAGGAGCGGCCAACUAUGUGCCAGCAGCCGCGGUGAUACAUAGGCUUCAAGCGUUGUCCGGAUUUAUUGGGCGUAAAGAGUUCGUAGGCGGUCGAGUAAGUCGGGUGUGAAAAUUCUGGGCUCAACCCAGAGACGCCACCCGAUACUGCUUGACUUGAGUUCGAUAGGGGAGUGGGGAAUUCCUAGUGUAGCGGUGAAAUGCGCAGAUAUUAGGAGGAACACCGGUGGCGAAGGCGCCACUCUGGAUCGAUACUGACGCUGAGGAACGAAAGCAUGGGUAGCAAACAGGAUUAGAUACCCUGGUAGUCCAUGCCGUAAACGGUGGGCACUAGGUGUGGGUUUCUAUUAACGAAAUCCGCGCCGUCGCUAACGCAUUAAGUGCCCCGCCUGGGGAGUACGGUCGCAAGACUAAAACUUAAAUGAAUUGACGGCUGAGACGNGCGAGACGACACGAGGAGAG